GACGUAGGGUGCGAGCGUUGUCCGGAUUUAUUGGGCGUAAAGAGCUCGUAGGCGGCUCGUCGCGUCAGCUGUGAAAACCCGCAGCUUAACUGUGGGCUUGCAGCUGAUACGGGCGGGCUAGAGUUCGGUAGGGGAGACUGGAAUUCCUGGUGUAGCGGUGAAAUGCGCAGAUAUCAGGAGGAACACCGGUGGCGAAGGCGGGUCUCUGGAACGCAACUGACGCUGAGACGCGAAAGCGUGGGGAGCAAACAGG
rnacentral:rRNA from 1 species